CUAACCCUUACUACGUAGCCUUCCUCCCCCUCUGCUUCGUCAAGGUACAAACCCUAACCCUUACUACGUAGCCUUCCUCCCCCUCUGCUUCGUCAAGGUACAAACCCUAACCCUUACUACGUAGCCUUCCUCCCCCUCUGCUUCGUCAAGGUACAAACCCUAACCCUUACUACGUAGCCUUCCUCCCCCUCUGCUUCGUCAAGGUACAAACCCUAACCCUUACUACAUAGCCUUCCUCUCUGCUUCGUCAAGGUACAAACCCUAACCCUUACUACAUAGCCUUCCUCUCUGCUUCGUCAAGGUACAAACCCUAACCCUUACUACAUAGCCUUCCUCUCUGCUUCAUCAAGGUACAAACCCUAACCCUUACUACGUAGCCUUCCUCCCUGCUUCGUCAAGGUACAAACCCUAACCCUUACUACAUAGCCUUCCUCCCUGCUUCAUCAAGGUACAAACCCUAACCCUUACUACGUAGCCUUCCUCCCUGCUUCAUCAAGGUACAAACCCUAACCCUUACUACGUAGCCUUCCUCCCUGCUUCAUCAAGGUACAAACCCUAACCCUUACUACGUAGCCUUCCUCCCUGCUUCAUCAAGGUACAAACCCUAACCCUUACUACGUAGCCUUCCUCCCUGCUUCAUCAAGGUACAAACCCUAACCCUUACUACGUAGCCUUCCUCCCUGCUUCAUCAAGGUACAAACCCUAACCCUUACUACGUAGCCUUCCUCCCUGCUUCAUCAAGGUACAAACCCUAACCCUUACUACGUAGCCUUCCUCCCUGCUUCAUCAAGGUACAAACCCUAACCCUUACUACGUAGCCUUCCUCCCUGCUUCAUCAAGGUACAAACCCUAACCCUUACUACGUAGCCUUCCUCCCUGCUUCAUCAAGGUACAAACCCUAACCCUUACUACGUAGCCUUCCUCUCUGCUUCAUCAAGGUACGUCACACUUCCUCUCCCUCUCCUUCCUCCACUCUUUCCCUCCCUCUAGCAGUUUGCUGCUUUCCUUCUCCUCC